rnacentral:rRNA from 1 species
GACAGAGGGUGCGAGCGUUGUUCGGAAUUAUUGGGCGUAAAGCGCUUGUAGGCGGUCUGUCAAGUCUCGUGUGAAAUCCCUCGGCUCAACCGAGGAAGUGCACGAGAUACUACCAGACUGGAGUGCCGGAGAGGGUCGCGGAAUUCCCGGUGUAGAGGUGAAAUUCGUAGAUAUCGGGAGGAACACCAGUGGCGAAGGCGGCGACCUGGACGGACACUGACGCUGAGACGCGAAAGCGUGGGAGC